rnacentral:tRNA from 1 species
AAAUAAAGUAUAACUUUUUUUAGAA